rnacentral:lncRNA from 1 species
AUGAGAAAAGGACCCAGCACAGGAGGAGAAAGAGGAGGAAACGGCAGUUUCUCAGGUCCCCUUUUUGGAGUAAAAGAAGAAUCCCUGAGAUGUGAAGGGAAUGGAGACAGUAGCUGUAUAACCAGGUACGUGCAAAUGAAUGAAGCAGAUGACACAGGUGAGAGGUCCAAAGAUCACAGAGGAAGUCAUAUCUUAUAUUAUGGCUUGGGAAGACAUGCUUCAAUGGAAAUGAUUUUUGCAAACCCUAGAUUUAUUUCUGUUGCUGUCAUAGAGGGACAUCUCCUGCUCCCAUCUUAGGCUCUUAAAUCCUCCGUGUAUUCUUCUUCAGCCCCAGUGAUUAUCCUUCACAUUCACAGUGAGAGCCAAAAUCCUCCUCUUGGCCUGUGAUGACCCUCAUGACCUGACUGCUCUUCUGUUGCUUUGGAGGUUCUAGGGAAAACUGUUUACAUUUCUGAGUAACUCUAUGUUAAGUUCUGUUUCUGCCUCAAGUCAGAAAUGUGUGAGGAGAGUCAUGGAGAUAUUGGGAUUAGGUGACAAAAUUCUUGGAAUACCCAAUCCAGUGGAAACUUCAAACAUGACCCUACAAAGUUCAGACUCAGUAAUUUCAUCAGAGCAUCAAGCAUCUCCCCAGAAUUAUAGAAUGUAAUCCUCCAUUUUACUUCCAAUGAACUAACAUGAGACAUUUUUACUUUCUAUGAACUAAGGUGAGACAUUUUAAGUGUACUUGCCCAAUCCAUCAAUGGUAGAAUAACUUAAUAUGUUUAUUUAUCUCAUAGAAGUCUUGAAUAUGUUCAU